UGUUGUUACGGAAAGAUAGCGAAGAGGCUAAACGCGGCGGACUGUAAAUCCGCUCCUUCGGGUUCGGGGGUUCGAAUCCCU
rnacentral:tRNA from 1 species